UCCCUGGUGGCUCAGACGGUAAAGCGUCUGCCUGCAAUGCGGGAGACCCAGGUUCGAUUCCUGGGUUGGGAA
rnacentral:tRNA from 1 species